CAAUGACAGUGCCCAGGGCUCUGAUGUGUCUCUCACAGCUUGUAAAGUGUGACAUAGCUGCCUUCUGUGGGACUGAGUGAUUCCAGAUGAGUUCAAGUCCCGUGCAACACAACCACUGUGACUUCAAGAGCUCCUGCCUGGAUUCUCUGUCUGCAACUGGCAUCAGAAUGUGUCUGUGUGUCUGUGUUCCUGUUAGUAUAAUGUGAGGAAAUGGGGAGACUGGCCCAUCCCCGAGCAUCAAGGCCCCUUCCCCACACUGACCUGUGUUCUCUUCUCUCAUCAACUUUCCUGUUCCAGCAGAGGCGGGGCUGGGAUGUCUCCAUCCCUGUCUUAAAUUUAUGUUGCACUGAGCCACAGCUUUUUACUUCCCUAUUGAAAAGAAGAAUCUGGAAAUGAAUUUGUUUGCAAACUUUUGCCAUAGGGUGUGGUCGAUGGGUUAAUUAAAGGACAAGAAGAUUCUUAAAAUUUGAGAGUGGAAAUAAAACCUGAAAAGCUUCCA